rnacentral:rRNA from 1 species
GGGGAAUAUUGCGCAAUGGGGGCAACCCUGACGCAGCCAUGCCGCGUGAAUGAAGAAGGCCUUCGGGUUGUAAAGUUCUUUCGGUAGCGAGGAAGGCAUUUAGUUUAAUAGACUAGGUGAUUGACGGUACCGGAAUAGAAAGCCACGGCUAACUACGUGCCAGCAGCCGCGGUAAUACGUAGGUGGCAAGCGUUGUCCGGAAUUAUUGGGCGUAAAGCGCGCGCAGGCGGAUUGGUCAGUCUGUCUUAAAAGUUCGGGGCUUAACCCCGUGAUGGGAUGGAAACUGCUGAUCUAGAGUAUCGGAGAGGAAAGUGGAAUUCCUAGUGUAGCGGUGAAAUGCGUAGAUAUUAGGAAGAACACCAGUGGCGAAGGCGACUUUCUGGACGAAAACUGACGCUGAGGCGCGAAAGCCAGGGGAGCGAACGGGAUUAGAUACCCCGGUAGUCCUGGCCGUAAACGAUGGGUACUAGGUGUAGGAGGUAUCGACCCCUUCUGUGCCGGAGUUAACGCAAUAAGUACCCCGCCUGGGGAGUACGACCGCAAGGUUG